GCGGACCUCAAUGAAGCGGUCUCUCAUCGUCGUCCUCGUCUUCUUCACGUUGUCGGUGCUGGCGUCUGCCGCCGGCGAUGGCGGCGCCGACGUGUACAUUGUGUACAUGGAGCCACCGCUGGAAGGCGAGAAGGGAGAUCCUGAGGCUUACCACAUUCGCACUCUCGCUUCCGUUCUCGGGAGUGAGGAGGCGGCGAGGGAGGCGUUGGUGUAUAGCUAUAAGCAUGCGGCGAGUGGGUUCUCGGCUAAGCUCACGCCGAAGCAGGUCUCUGAGCUUUCAAAACAACCAGGAGUUCUUCAGGUGGUGCCUGAGAGGGUUUAUCAACUGGAUCCUGGACCAGAUAGGCUUCGCCGUAUAGAUUUCAUGUGAUCUUCAGGGUUUCUUGAGACUCAAAAUGAACUGCUUGAACAGCCAUGUUACUCAAACAAGCAGCAGUUCUGCACAUAAAUAAAUGCAAUAAAACAGUUCUGAACAGACAACAUUUGAAGAAGAAGAAGAAGAAGAAGAAGAAGACAAACCGGGCUUGUAGAAAACUGAAAGACCGAAAUCCGUGGCCUUGAGAACAGCAUCAUCAUCAGCACUAAGAAACAAG